UAACGAAUAUUCCGCAAUGGACGAAAGUCUGACGGAGCAAUGCCGCGUGCAGGAUGAAGCGGUUUCGCCGUGUAAACUGCUGUCAGGGGCAGGAAAAACUGAUCCGCCCCAAAGGAAGAGACGGCUAACCCUGUGCCAGCAGCCGCGGUAAUACAGAGGGUGCAAGCGUUGUUCGGAAUUACUGGGCGUAAAGCGUGCGCAGGCGGUUAUGUAAGACAGGUGUGAAAUCCCCGGGCUUAACCUGGGAACUGCAUUUGUGACUGCAUAGCUAGAGUACGGUAGAGGGGGAUGGAAUUCCGCGUGUAGCAGUGAAAUGCGUAGAUAUGCGGAGGAACACCGAUGGCGAAGGCAAUCCCCUGGACCUGUACUGACGCUCAUGCACGAAAGCGUGGGGAGCAAACAGGAUUAGAUACCCCCGUAGUCCCUGAGCGGGCUGGCAAGGCGCAU
rnacentral:rRNA from 1 species